GAUGAACGCUGGCGGCGUGCCUAAUACAUGCAAGUCGAGCGAACGGACGAGAAGCUUGCUUCUCUGAUGUUAGCGGCGGACGGGUGAGUAACACGUGGAUAACCUACCUAUAAGACUGGGAUAACUUCGGGAAACCGGAGCUAAUACCGGAUAAUAUUUUGCACCGCAUGGUUCAAAAGUGAAAUUCGGUCUUGCUGUCACUUCUAGAUGGAUCCGCGCUGCAUUAGCUAGUUGGUAAGGUAACGGCCUACCAAGGCAACGAUGCAUAGGCGACGUGAGAGAGUGAUAGCCCGCCCGGGAACUGAGACGCGGUCCAGACGACUACGGGAGGGAGCAGUAGGGAAUCUGACGCAGUGGGCGAGAGCCUGACGGAGCAGCGCGACGUGAGUGAUGAAGGUCUUCGGAUCGUAAUACUCUGUUAUGAGGGAAGAACAGAUGUGUAAGUAAAUGUGCAGAUCUUGACGGUACCUAAUAAGAAAGCAACGGCUAACUACGUG
rnacentral:rRNA from 1 species